rfam:Oryza sativa (indica cultivar-group) chromosome 6, whole genome shotgun sequence.
GGUUAAGCGACUAAGCGUACACGGUGGAUGCCCUGGCAGUCAGAGGCGAUGAAGGACGUGCUAAUCUGCGAUAAGCGUCGGUAAGGUGAUAUGAACCGUUAUAACCGGCGAUUUCCGAAUGGGGAAACCCAGUGUGUUUCGACACACUAUCAUUAACUGAAUCCAUAGGUUAAUGAGGCGAACCGGGGGAACUGAAACAUCUAAGUACCCCGAGGAAAAGAAAUCAACCGAGAUUCCCCCAGUAGCGGCGAGCGAACGGGGAGCAGCCCAGAGCCUGAAUCAGUGUGUGUGUUAGUGGAAGCGUCUGGAAAGGCGUGCGAUACAGGGUGACAGCCCCGUACACAAAAAUGCACAUGCUGUGAGCUCGAUGAGUAGGGCGGGACACGUGGUAUCCUGUCUGAAUAUGGGGGGACCAUCCUCCAAGGCUAAAUACUCCUGACUGACCGAUAGUGAACCAGUACCGUGAGGGAAAGGCGAAAAGAACCCCGGCGAGGGGAGUGAAAAAGAACCUGAAACCGUGUACGUACAAGCAGUGGGAGCACGCUUAGGCGUGUGACUGCGUACCUUUUGUAUAAUGGGUCAGCGACUUAUAUUCUGUAGCAAGGUUAACCGAAUAGGGGAGCCGAAGGGAAACCGAGUCUUAACUGGGCGUUAAGUUGCAGGGUAUAGACCCGAAACCCGGUGAUCUAGCCAUGGGCAGGUUGAAGGUUGGGUAACACUAACUGGAGGACCGAACCGACUAAUGUUGAAAAAUUAGCGGAUGACUUGUGGCUGGGGGUGAAAGGCCAAUCAAACCGGGAGAUAGCUGGUUCUCCCCGAAAGCUAUUUAGGUAGCGCCUCGUGAAUUCAUCUCCGGGGGUAGAGCACUGUUUCGGCAAGGGGGUCAUCCCGACUUACCAACCCGAUGCAAACUGCGAAUACCGGAGAAUGUUAUCACGGGAGACACACGGCGGGUGCUAACGUCCGUCGUGAAGAGGGAAACAACCCAGACCGCCAGCUAAGGUCCCAAAGUCAUGGUUAAGUGGGAAACGAUGUGGGAAGGCCCAGACAGCCAGGAUGUUGGCUUAGAAGCAGCCAUCAUUUAAAGAAAGCGUAAUAGCUCACUGGUCGAGUCGGCCUGCGCGGAAGAUGUAACGGGGCUAAACCAUGCACCGAAGCUGCGGCAGCGACACUAUGUGUUGUUGGGUAGGGGAGCGUUCUGUAAGCCUGUGAAGGUGUGCUGUGAGGCAUGCUGGAGGUAUCAGAAGUGCGAAUGCUGACAUAAGUAACGAUAAAGCGGGUGAAAAGCCCGCUCGCCGGAAGACCAAGGGUUCCUGUCCAACGUUAAUCGGGGCAGGGUGAGUCGACCCCUAAGGCGAGGCCGAAAGGCGUAGUCGAUGGGAAACAGGUUAAUAUUCCUGUACUUGGUGUUACUGCGAAGGGGGGACGGAGAAGGCUAUGUUGGCCGGGCGACGGUUGUCCCGGUUUAAGCGUGUAGGCUGGUUUUCCAGGCAAAUCCGGAAAAUCAAGGCUGAGGCGUGAUGACGAGGCACUACGGUGCUGAAGCAACAAAUGCCCUGCUUCCAGGAAAAGCCUCUAAGCAUCAGGUAACAUCAAAUCGUACCCCAAACCGACACAGGUGGUCAGGUAGAGAAUACCAAGGCGCUUGAGAGAACUCGGGUGAAGGAACUAGGCAAAAUGGUGCCGUAACUUCGGGAGAAGGCACGCUGAUAUGUAGGUGAAGCGACUUGCUCGUGGAGCUGAAAUCAGUCGAAGAUACCAGCUGGCUGCAACUGUUUAUUAAAAACACAGCACUGUGCAAACACGAAAGUGGACGUAUACGGUGUGACGCCUGCCCGGUGCCGGAAGGUUAAUUGAUGGGGUCAGCGGUAACGCGAAGCUCUUGAUCGAAGCCCCGGUAAACGGCGGCCGUAACUAUAACGGUCCUAAGGUAGCGAAAUUCCUUGUCGGGUAAGUUCCGACCUGCACGAAUGGCGUAAUGAUGGCCAGGCUGUCUCCACCCGAGACUCAGUGAAAUUGAACUCGCUGUGAAGAUGCAGUGUACCCGCGGCAAGACGGAAAGACCCCGUGAACCUUUACUAUAGCUUGACACUGAACACUGGUCCUUGAUGUGUAGGAUAGGUGGGAGGCUUUGAAGCGUGGACGCCAGUCUGCGUGGAGCCGACCUUGAAAUACCACCCUUUAAUGGCUGGUGUUCUAACGUAGACCCGUGAUCCGGGUUGCGGACAGUGUCUGGUGGGUAGUUUGACUGGGGCGGUCUCCUCCCAAAGAGUAACGGAGGAGCACGAAGGUUAGCUAAUCCUGGUCGGACAUCAGGAGGUUAGUGCAAUGGCAUAAGCUAGCUUGACUGCGAGAGUGACGGCUCGAGCAGGUGCGAAAGCAGGUCAUAGUGAUCCGGUGGUUCUGAAUGGAAGGGCCAUCGCUCAACGGAUAAAAGGUACUCCGGGGAUAACAGGCUGAUACCGCCCAAGAGUUCAUAUCGACGGCGGUGUUUGGCACCUCGAUGUCGGCUCAUCACAUCCUGGGGCUGAAGUAGGUCCCAAGGGUAUGGCUGUUCGCCAUUUAAAGUGGUACGCGAGCUGGGUUUAGAACGUCGUGAGACAGUUCGGUCCCUAUCUGCCGUGGGCGCUGGAGAAUUGAGGGGGGCUGCUCCUAGUACGAGAGGACCGGAGUGGACGCAUCACUGGUGUUCGGGUUGUCAUGCCAAUGGCACUGCCCGGUAGCUAAAUGCGGAAGAGAUAAGUGCUGAAAGCAUCUAAGCACGAAACUUGGCCCGAGAUNNNNNNNNNNNNNNNNNNNNNNNNNNNNNNNNNNNNNNNNNNNNNNNNNNGAAGAACUUACCUGGCCUUGACAUG